rnacentral:rRNA from 1 species
AGACCCGAAACCCGGUGAUCUAGCCAUGGGCAGGUUGAAGGUUGGGUAACACUAACUGGAGGACCGAACCGACUAAUGUUGAAAAAUUAGCGGAUGACCUGUGGCUGGGGGUGAAAGGCCAAUCAAACCGGGAGAUAGCUGGUUCUCCCCGAAAGCUAUUUAGGUAGCGCCUCGUGAAUUCAUCUCCGGGGGUAGAGCACUGUUUCGGCUAGGGGGCCAUCCCGGCUUACCAACCCGAUGCAAACUGCGAAUACCGGAGAAUGUUAUCACGGGAGACACACGGCGGGUGCUAACGUCCGUCGUGAAGAGGGAAACAACCCAGACCGCCAGCUAAGGUCCCAAAGUCAUGGUUAAGUGGGAAACGAUGUGGGAAGGCCCAGACAGCCAGGAUGUUGGCUUAGAAGCAGCCAUCAUUUAAAGAAAGCGUAAUAGCUCACUGGUCGAGUCGGCCUGCGCGGAAGAUGUAACGGGGCUAAACCAUGCACCGAAGCUGCGGCAGCGAACGUAUCACCCAAGACAACUUUACGGAGUUGACGAUUGACGGAGCGAAGCGACGUCAAAGCGUUCAUUAAAGUCGAGUUGGCUUAGGGAUACGUUCGUUGGGUAGGGGAGCGUUCUGUAAGCCUGUGAAGGUGGCCUGUGAGGGUUGCUGG